AAAAAAAUAAUUGUGGGCGGGAAGAGUAACAGUCGGAGUAUAAACAGACACUCCGAAGAGAACGAGUGCGCUUGGGCCUUCAGCAACAGUGACUUUAGCAGUCUCGACGACUGUCUCACGAAAUUCACCACCGCCGGUACGCCGCCGUGGUUGCUCUUCAGAGCACCAAAACGUCCAGACCCAAAGCCCGCCCCUUCUCUCUGACGCUCUCACCGGUUAUGCGAGGCAAGUCUAACUGUUCGUGAAAAGUUGCGAGUGGCAGGUGGGUUGGAGACCUUCGAGUUUCCAGUUCAUUUUUUUAGAUGAAUUAUGGUGCUGAGGUGUAGUGGGAGGCACUGAGUCUGAGGGGGAAGAUGCUUAAUCGGUUAAGUCGGCUGUUGCUUUUGCACUGCUGCUCCGAGGCCAUGGCUAUUUGUAGGUUUGGGCAAUCCCGGCGAUAAGUACCAAGGAACUAGGCACAAUGCGGGGUUUUAGAUGAUUGAUGCGUUUGCUGGUUCGCAGGGCAUUGCAAUGAACACGGUCCAAUGCAAAGCUAUACUUGGGCAAGGCAUGUAAAUCUUCGCGGAUGUUACUUUGUUUAUUGUCAUUUUUCAUGUUUUUUUGUGAAGUUCAGGGAAGUUUGUUAUUUCAGGUUUCGUUGGUGAAGUUCCCGUUUUUCUUGCAAAGCCUCAAACUUACAUGAAUUUGAGAGGCUGAAGAGUGUGAUCUAUCACUUUCGAGGGAACAGAGAAUUUCCUCAGCUAAGAAUCGGUGAGUUUGAAUUUCCAAAUUUCAUGAGUUUGAAUGAUCUCUUCCCAGUACUUGAAAGCAUGUUGAAUUUCUUGCCUGGUAUUGGGAGGCGCAUUCUGGUCAAAUGGAUCCAAAAGCAUUCUUGCUGCAAAAAUUUAAUGCAACUGCCCAAAGACGAGUGAUUAUAUG